rnacentral:tRNA from 1 species
GCCAGAGUGGUGAAAUUGGUAAACACAGCGGACUUAAAAUCCGCCGCUCUAAAACAGCUUGCCGGUUCGAUUCCGGUCUCUGGCACCA